rnacentral:rRNA from 1 species
GACGAACGCUGGCGGCGUGCUUAACACAUGCAAGUCGAACGGUAAGGCCCUUCGGGGUACACGAGUGGCGAACGGGUGAGUAACACGUGGGUGAUCUGCCCUGCACUUCGGGAUAAGCCUGGGAAACUGGGUCUAAUACCGGAUAGGACCCUGGGAUGCAUGUCCUGGGGUGGAAAGAUUUUGCGGUGUGGGAUGGGCUCGCGGCCUAUCAGCUUGUUGGUGGGGUGAUGGCCUACCAAGGCGACGACGGGUAGCCGGCCUGAGAGGGUGACCGGCCACACUGGGACUGAGAUACGGCCCAGACUCCUACGGGGGGCAGCAGUGGGGAAUAUUGCACAAUGGGCGCAAGCCUGAUGCAGCGACGCCGCGUGAGGGAUGACGGCCUUCGGGUUGUAAACCUCUUUCAGCACCGACGAAGCGCAAGUGACGGUAGGUGCAGAAGAAGGACCGGCCAACUACGUGCCAGCAGCCGCCGUAA